rnacentral:tRNA from 1 species
GAUUUCUUAGCUCAGUUGGUAGAGCACAUCCCUUUUAAGGAUGGGGUCCUGGGUUCGAGCCCCAGAGGAAUCA